AUACGGAGGGUGCAAGCGUGGUUCGGAAUUAUUGGGCGUAAAGCGCGUGUAGGCGGCUUGGUAAGUCAGGUGUGAAAGCCCUUAGCUCAACUAAGGAAAGUCAUCUGAAACUGCCAGGCUUGAGUACGGGAGAGGAGAGUGGAAUUCCCGGUGUAGAGGUGAAAUUCGUAGAUAUCGGGAGGAACACCCGUGGCGAAGGCGACUCUCUGGACCGAUACUGACGCUGAGACGCGAAAGCGUGGGGAGCAAACAGGAUUAGAAACCCUAGUAGUCC
rnacentral:rRNA from 1 species